rnacentral:rRNA from 1 species
GACGUAGGGGGCGAGCGUUGUCCGGAUUUAUUGGGCGUAAAGCGUGCGUAGGCGGCUGCGCAAGUCGGUUGUGAAACCCCGGGGCUCAACCCCGGAACUGCAUCCGAUACUGCGUGGCUAGAGGUAGGUAGGGGAGAUCGGAAUUCCUGGUGUAGCGGUGAAAUGCGCAGAUAUCAGGAGGAACACCGGUGGCGAAGGCGGAUCUCUGGGCCUUGCCUGACGCUCAGGCACGAAAGCUAGGGGAGCGAACAGG